rnacentral:rRNA from 1 species
CCCAGCAUAAAAAGCAAAACCGAUUUAGGCUCAUAAAGUAAGACUAACACAGAGGACAGAGAGUUGGGAGUGAAGAAAAUAACUUAGUGGCGAACGGGUGAGUAACGCGUGAGUAACCUGCCCUGGAGUGGGGGACAACAGUUGGAAACGACUGCUAAUACCGCAUAAGCCCACGGAUCCGCAUGGAUCUGCGGGAAAAGGAUUUAUUCGCUUCAGGAUGGACUCGCGUCCAAUUAGCUAGUUGGUGAGGUAACGGCCCACCAAGGCGACGAUUGGUAGCCGGACUGAGAGGUUGAACGGCCACAUUGGGACUGAGACACGGCCCAGACUCCUACGGGAGGCAGCAGUGGGGGAUAUUGCACAAUGGGGGAAACCCUGAUGCAGCGACGCCGCGUGGAGGAAGAAGGUUUUCGGAUUGUAAACUCCUGUCGUUAGGGACGAUAAUGACGGUACCUAACAAGAAAGCACCGGCUAACUACGUGCCAGCAGCCGCGGUAAAACGUAGGGUGCAAGCGUUGUCCGGAAUUACUGGGUGUAAAGGGAGCGCAGGCGGACCGGCAAGUUGGAAGUGAAAACUAUGGGCUCAACCCAUAAAUUGCUUUCAAAACUGCUGGCCUUGAGUAGUGCAGAGGUAGGUGGAAUUCCCGGUGUAGCGGUGGAAUGCGUAGAUAUCGGGAGGAACACCAGUGGCGAAGGCGACCUACUGGGCACCAACUGACGCUGAGGCUCGAAAGCAUGGGUAGCAAACAGGAUUAGAUACCCUGGUAGUCCAUGCCGUAAACGAUGAUUACUAGGUGUUGGAGGAUUGACCCCUUCAGUGCCGCAGUUAACACAAUAAGUAAUCCACCUGGGGAGUACGACCGCAAGGUUGCAAUAAG